rnacentral:rRNA from 1 species
AUUGAACGCUGGCGGCAGGCCUAACACAUGCAAGUCGAGCGAGCGGCGGACGGGUGAGUAAUGUAUGGGGACUGCCCGAUAGAGGGGGAUAACUACUGGAAACGGUAGCUAAUACCGCAUACUAUCGGAUAACCCAUAUGGGAUUAGCUAGUAGGUGAGGUAAUGGCUCACAUAGGCGACGAUCCCUAGCUGGUCUGAGAGGAUAAUCAGCCACACUGGUGCUGUGAAACGGCCCCGACUCCUACGGAGGCAGCAGUGGGGAAUAUUUCACACUGGGCGCAAGCCUAAUGCAGCCAUGCCGCGUGUAUGAAGAAGGCCCUAGGGUUGUAAAUUACUUUCAGUCGGUAGGCGUUACCGACAGAAGAAGCACCGGCUAACUCCGUGCCAGCAGCCGCGGUAAUAC